rnacentral:lncRNA from 1 species
UUUCCACAAAUACACAGCAACAAAAAAUAAAAUAAAAAGUCGAGAAAAAUAUAGACCACAAACAUAGUGGACAUCCACGAGACAACACACGAGUAGCAAAAUCCAGUCUCUCCCGGGGCAGCUAGCCAACAGGUUGCGAACAGCAAACGAAGCUACUCUGCAGGCACGCUUUCCGGCAAACAUACUCCUGACACGAAAAAUCUUGGUCGUAAAAGGCUCUAUUUAUACUACUACUGACACGUGAACCAUUGACGCGUGCAACAAGCAACGUAAAUGAGUAUACUUUGACGAGGAGCGGCCGGUUAAUAGUCAAACGUGAUGCCUAAUUAGCUUGCCAAUUACUACAACGACCGCGGAAAUUUGGAUUUGGACCGAGCUACUAGUUCCUUGGCAGUGAGUAUUUAUAUGGAGCGGCUACAGGUUAAUCGACUGAUUGUAGAAUGUGGUCAGUCGAUUACUACAACAAAGGAAAAGAAAAGAGGACAGAAGAAAACUGACUGACCCAAAGUUAGGGUCAGUCGAUCAGCCCAACAACCAAACUGGCUGAAAAAAAAUUCUCUUGCCCUCUUCUGCCUUCUGUCCAGCCCAAAAAAAAGGGCCUGGCAAUAUGUGACGACCUGGCAAUUCGGUGUUUUGAUUUUGAUUUUGAUAUCUUGAAAAUUCUCUUGCCCUCUUCUGUCUUCUAUGUUUUGAUUUUGCUACUGCAUCUUAUGUGACGACCUGACAUAUUCAGAAUUUAAAAACAGAACACCUCCCUAAAGGCAGAAUUUAAAAAUGCCAAGAAGGAAUUGAAUUUGCAUAUUCAGAGAACUAAACUUGCAGUUGUUGACCAAAAGCAACAUACAAAGAAGUAUAGUGCUAGCAUGCAUACAUAUGUACAAAAAGAUAACCACAAGAUCUACACCUAGUUGUACUACAAAUUGUUUAACUACAGUUAAAGCAGAACCCCAUCCUGAAAUCAGAAUCUAAAUUUCCAUGCAUAUACUGAAUUUGCAUAUUCAGAGAACUAAAUUUGCAGUUGUUGACCAAAAGUAACAUACAAUAAAGUAUAGUGCUAGCACGCAUACAUAUGUACAAAAAGAUAACCACAAUAUUUUGACAAUUUUCACCUAUUUGUACUACAAAAUGUUUAACUACAGUCAAGGCAGAACACCUACCUGCAGGCAUAAUCUGAAAAUUGCAUGCACAUACUGAAUUUGCACAAUCAGAAAACUAAACUUGCAGUUGUUGAUCAAAAGCAACAUAGAAAGAAGUGUAGUGCGAGCAUGCAUAGAUAUGUAUAAAAAUCACCUAGUUAUACUAGAAAAAUUGUUAAACUACAGUUAAGGCUGAACACCUCCCUGAAGCCAUAAUCUAUAAUAUCCAUGAACUGACUAAAUUUACAUAUUCAGAAAACUAAGCUUGCAGUUGUUGUUGAGUAGCAACAUAGAAGAACUAUACUAUGAGCAUGCAUACUACAGCAUCUUGACCUGCUUGUGCUAGAAAUUAUUUAACUACAAGUAAAAUCAGAACAACACUCUCAUGGCAGAAUUUUAAAUUUGCAUAUUCAGAGAACUUAACUUUCACUUGUUCUUCAACAGCAACACGCAAGAACUAUAAAUACGAGCAUGCAUACAUACUUACAGAAAUAUAACUAUCACAUCUAGGGCUAAAGAAGUUGUCAAAGUAAAAGUUUCUAGCACAUACUUGUUGAUAUGCAGUACAGCUCCCUAAAGAAGUUAUCUAUGUUGAAAUUAAAUGUGCAUAUUCAGAGAGAUAACCAUAACAAGAACAAGUCAACACAAAAAAACCCAAGAAAUAUAGAAAACAACUUCAAAAGAGAAAGGAUCGAUGUACUUGCAAAAAUCUACCUAAACCUAAUUAUUGCAUUCUCAUUACUGCAAGUAAUAAAAUGCACGAGCAUGACUAUGAGUACAACUAUAAUUACAGCAAAAGCCUAAUUCAUAAAUUCAAAGACUACAAUUAAAAAUUGCAUGUUCAUCAUAUUAAACUUGCACACAUUUUACAACAGCAAGAUUCAUAUUAGCCUUGUUGAUAUGCUGAUUUAGGUUUUAUUGGAAGCAGAUACUUUGAUAUGUACAAAAGAAUUCAAGCUAUAUGUAAUACAGAGUACCUCACUGUAUUCACGAUUAUAACUAUACUUGCAUAAUUGAUCUAUAUCAACUGGAUUUAGAUCAUGGAAAGACAAAUUAUAGUUCCAUCUAUAUAACUAAUUACAAAGACAAUCGCGACAUAGGAUGGGAAACAACACCUAAAAUACACAGGUUUCAUAUUAGCCAUGAAAAAAUGCAGUGGCUAAGUAAACACAUACACAUAGAUUGGUAUCUACAAAAUAAGUCAAACUAUAAAAGAAAUGAUUAAUACAACUCACCAUCCUCCUGAAGCAUUCCUCAUCAAGGACAACAUAAACAACUUCAGGUACUUCAUCAAAGUCGGAACGGUGGAGGACUCGAACCCAAGGCCAUUACGUUUUUCUAUAGAUGAAUGAAUUUUGGGAAGCCUAUCACCCUUCCUGAAGAUUAAAAUCGAAAUCAUAAACAUAAGUGUAGACACAAAUUUUGUUGCCGUAGCAACCACUCCUAUUACAGUAUCCAACUAUUAUAACUACGAAAAAACAUACUGCUAAUGAAUCUAGUUAUCUUAAUUGCUGAUGCACGAUAAAGAAGUUGCACAGAAUAAGUAUCAGCAACAACACCAACAUGCAGUAGCAAAACAUAUUAGAGUAUAAAAUCUUGCUGACAGACUCCACUGUUGCGUCAGCGGACAAUUGCAAUAGCCACUGUUUUGGUUGUCAUGGCUGCCAGCCAUUAGCAUUACGAUUAACUUCCACAUGAUGACACUAAUUAUAUCAAAAUUGCAUUUCUAGGAUACAGAGAUUCAAAAUCAGAAGGAACAACUACACUCGAUCAAAAAGAAUUCUAUACAAGGUAAGCAACAGUGGUAUAAAAAUAGUUGUAGAGGCAUAGGUACUUUGCAUGCCAUGGAAGCCGUUAUGCUAUCAUUGCAUCAAUUAGUACUAUGCUUUCAUGUCAUAUCAAGAUAUUAAAAAGAUAAUUGCAUAUGCAACCUACAGAAGUUGCACAACUUCAUUAUGAGCAACAACAACUUCAUGGUGGAGCAGACCAUACUGUCAACAAGGUGAGGAACACUGAAUAAAAAUGGAUGCAGAGGCAGAAGUUUCAAAACUCUAGUUUAACUUACCCCCAAAAAAUAACUAAUAAUCUAAAAUUGCUUAUGUAGGUGCCAAAAAUUACACAACAGGAAUAUCAGCAAGUGCACUCUCAUGAUACAACCAACAAAAACACAAGGUAAGCAUCAGCAGUGACUAUAAUGUAAGGAAUUAGAUUUGCAUGCUGAAGUUGCUAGCAACAUGAAAAACCAUUGUUAUGGUUGCAAUAUAAUAAUUUUGAAAAACAAAAUUAUAAAACUAAGAAGUCUGAACAUUGCAUUUGCAGGUCCAAAGAGUUGUACAAAUAGAUAACUAGCAGAAAGGAUUAGUGGAGAAAGUUGUCGCCAAGGGAAAAUCACUUGCUCAGGUUGUGGCACUAUCAUAACAUUACAUGUUGCACAGAUGUCAGAAAAGAGACAUGGGAGAAAACAAAGAAGGAACGUUAACAUUAUUAUGGGAAGUAACUAUGAAGAAAAUCAGUAAUGAGCAUUGCAAAAAUAUGAAUUUUAAGAAACUAUAAACGACCAAAAUACCUAUAGGAAGUGGCGUUCCACAAAAUAUUUUCUACCUUGAAUUCCAACUUAUCUUCAAAGAUUGGAAAAGGACACUGUGACCUGCAACAAAACAAUAUCAGCAAGCUCAAAACCAUAGUUGUAGAAGUUUGAAAUAAACACAAGGAAAGAUUACAUGUUCAAAUUGACAAAGAUAGGGACAGAGUACCCCAACUUUUCAAAUUAGAAACAAAGAAGAUGACCACUACAUAGCCUACAAACAAAUUUAUAAUAGCCAAAUAAUAAAACGACAGACCAAAGUUUCGCCACUAAUUUCAAUGAUAUUCAGUAGUGGUCGCAAACAUUACACAACCAGAUUGCAAAAGAAAAUUCAACCUAGGUAACGAAGAGGUGACAGUUCAACUUGACAACAUGGGACAAACUACUACAAAAUCUAAAGACGACAUCGUACUAGCUGCCUAUAAGGCAUACAGUUCCAAAAGCAGACGCAAUAUGUCUUAAGACCAAGCUUGAACCAUACACUUCAAACAGAGCAGGAAGCCGCAGCAGCACCAGCAUCACCACCAGAUCCACUAGCAUCACCACCAGGAGUGUUAGUGGGGACUACACAGAACACCACGAUGUCCGAUGGAACAAAAGGAACUCGAAGCUGGGCUCUUGUCACUGUUGAUAUCUUCAAGACCUUGGGACAUAAACCCUUGCGAAAACUAAACAUAAAAACUAAUCAAAUGACAUGAAAAUUGCACACCAACAUAACUAACAAAAAAAAGACGCCACACCAAGUUUAUAUCAUUUUGAGAUGAAUAAUGUUAUUUAUCCUCAAAUAGAAGAGUUGAGAUACCACACCAAGUGGUCAAAUGGCACUUUCAGAGUCAAACAAAACCCACCUAAAUUCAGGCUUAACUAUGAAUCUAGUUGUACAACCAUUUGGUUGAAAUCUGUCAAGUGCAGACAGUUUAACAUUGACGAGGCUGACAAUUGUACAUGUUAGUAUCCUAGUUGCAGUCAAUGCUAGCUUCAGACAAUCGGUUACAGAGUUGCAGAAUAUGUCAAUUCAAAAGUUAAACGCCUUAAGUCAGAUAGAAAUUGACAAAAGAGAACUGAACCAUGCAUCAGAACACACUUGAUUAAGAGAAGGGACUGCAAUUUUAUUCCUUAAACAAAAUCAAUGUUGGUUCAGUCUUCAGGCUGGUGAUUUCAACGACUGUUCUCAAAGCUUCUUGUAUACCUAACCAAGAUCUAUAUAUUAUAGGGAGAAAUCAAAAGCAAAAAAGAAAUGGAAGAACACAUACCUAAAGCCUCCCCUAGCACACCUCACAGGAAGCAGAGAAAACCCUAACCAGUGACACCUCGAAAUCCCUGCAAAAUAGAUAUCAACAGAAACAACAAAUGAAUAACUUAAAAUAGCAAAUGUAUCAUANNN